rnacentral:lncRNA from 1 species
CUUUUUGCACAUAAAAAUACAUAGAAACUGUUACUAUUAGCUCUAGAUGCCUAGAGGUUUUUCAAUUUCAGUAGAGAUAAAAUCUAAUAGUACGGGAGCAAUAAAGAGACUUCAUAUUACUAGCAAAUAUGGUAUUCUUGUCCGCAAAACCUGUGCCACAGAAUAAUUGGAGUCAUUCUGAAUGAUUUUUCUAAGUUUGCACUGGAAUUUGAAUGUGAAAAUCAAUUUGAAUGUGAAAAUCCAAGACCAAUUUGAAUGUGAAAAUCCAAGACAAGCACAAAAGUUGUAUGUAAAUAGUAAACAUUAGUUUAAAUAAAGGAAUUUUGUCCCAAGUCACUUGUCCAACUGAAGAGUUAAUAGAUUUUUAUUUGAAAAGGCAUUAAUCCAAUUAAAGUCAAGUUAAUGGAUGAAGAAAUGCAAUCACUAAUAAGACCGCUAAAGUAGAAUGACUAAGAUCAAAGGUUUUGAUCCUGUAAAGUUUCGGUUUUGAUCCUGUAAAGUUUCAAAUGUAUAUUUGAUAUCAUGAAUUAUUUCAUCUUGAUAUUUCAUUUCGACUCAAGUUUUUGAGUUUCAAUGAUGUAUUUUAGUUAAAUUAAAUCACAAAAAUUAGAUUCUGAAUUAUGCGUCAAAAAGAUUCGAUGUAAUAUUUGGAAGAGGUGGAAGUUCGGUAAAGCAUGUCUAAUGGACGGAUCCCAAAAAGUUUAUUCCAUGCGGAAAAGAAUAUUUGCCUUUGUGGUGGAAUAUGGGCCAACCUUGUUCAUGGGGUAAAGUGAAUAAACCAAAAUGAAAAUUGGAAAAAGCUUAGGGGCGUUGAAAUGAAGUUUUCUUUCAUAUGAUGUAUGUUGG